GGUCUAAUAGUGUAGAGGUUAUCACACGGGAUUUUGACAGGCAACAACUAUGAUGUCAAAUCUCUUCUUCCCGUGACCCAGGUUCGAGUCCUGGUUAGACCU